AGCAGCCGCGGUAAUUCCAGCUCCAAUAGCGUAUAUUAAAGUUGUUGCAGUUAAAAAGCUCGUAGUUGAAUUUCGGGGUUAGCAGGUCGGUCGUGCCAUCGGUAUGAACUGGUCUCGCUGAUCCCUCCCUCUUGACGAACUGUGAUGCCAUUAAUUUGGUGUCGCAGGGAAUCAGGACUGUUACUUUGAAAAAAUUAGAGUGUUUAAAGCAGGCUCACGCUUGAAUACAUUAACAUGGAAUAAUGAAAUAGGACGUUUGAUCCUAUUUUGUUGGCUUCUAGGAUUGACGUAAUGAUUAAUAGGGAUAGUUGGGGGCAUUAGUAUUCAAUUGUCAGAGGUGAAAUUCUUGGAUUUAUUGAAGACUAACUACUGCGAAAGCAUUUGCCAAGGAUGUUUUCAUUAAUCAAGAACGAAAGUUAGGGGAUCGAAGACGAUCAGAUACCGUCGUAGUCUUAACCAUAAACUAUGCCGACUAGGGAUCGGAUGAUGUUAAUUUUUUAAUGACUCAUUCGGCGCCUUA
rnacentral:misc_RNA from 1 species